ensembl:misc_RNA 7SK 7SK RNA
GGAUGUGGGGGCGAUCUGGCUGAGACAUCUGUCUUCAGGGUUGAUUUGGCUAAUCUGGCUGGCUAGGAGGGUGUCCCCUUCCUCCCUCACCACUCCAUGUGCUCCCUCCCAAAGCUGCAGGGCACAUUUGUUCUAAGAGGAUGGCCUUCCCCGAAUAGAGACAGACUGGUCUUUCGUCUGGUCGAGGGCACAGGAGUAGCUGCGAACCUCCAAACAAGCUCUCAAGGUCCAUUUGUAGGAGAACUGUAGGGUAGGCAAGUUUCCAAGACUCCAGACACAUCCAAAUGAAGCGCUGCAUGUGGCAGUCUUCCUUU